rnacentral:rRNA from 1 species
UAUGGNUCAACCAUAGUGUGCUCUGGAAACUGUCUGACUUGAGUGCAGAAGGGGAGAGUGGAAUUCCAUGUGUAGCGGUGAAAUGCGUAGAUAUAUGGAGGAACACCAGUGGCGAAAGCGGCUCUCUGGUCUGUCACUGACGCUGAGGCUCGAAAGCGUGGGUAGCGAACAGGAUUAGAUACCCUGGUAGUCCACGCCGUAAACGAUGAGUGCUAGGUGUUAGGCCCUUUCCGGGGCUUAGUGCCGGAGCUAACGCAAUAAGCACUCCGCCUGGGGAGUACGACCGCAAGGUUGAAACUCAAAGGAAUUGACGGGGGCCCGCACAAGCGGUGGAGCAUGUGGUUUAAUUCGAAGCAACGCGAAGAACCUUACCAGGUCUUGACAUCCCGAUGCUAUUCUUAGAGAUAGGAAGUUACUUCGGUACAACGGAGACAGGUGGUGCAUGGUUGUCGUCAGCUCGUGUCGUGAGAUGUUGGGUUNNNNNNNNNNACGAGCGCAACCCUUAUUGUUAGUUGCCAUCAUUAAGUUGGGCACUCUAGCGAGACUGCCGGUAAUAAACCGGAGGAAGGUGGGGAUGACGUCAAAUCAUCAUGCCCCUUAUGACCUGGGCUACACACGUGCUACAAUGGUCGGUACAACGAGUUGCGAGCCGGUGACGGCAAGCUAAUCUCUGGAAGCCGAUCUCAGUUCGGAUUGGAGGCUGCAACUCG